CUUAUUUAAAAUUAUCUUUGUUUUAAUUGUCAUUAAUGUGAAUAAAAAUCUCUAGUCAAUAUUUCAUGAUGACUGAUAAAAAAUGAGAGGUGAGAUAAAAAUUAUGUUAAACUACGAAGUGAAGCCGUCUUAAUGAGUGUUACAUCAGCUAGUCUUGGGGGUUCAAAGUUGAGGUGGGCUUGUUCUGGUCAACGGUAGGGAGGUGUUUUUUUUGCUAGUUAUGGAAUCUUCUGAUUUAGCUUAAACUUGUCUUAAUUUCAGUUGCAACCCUGCCAGAAAAAAGGGUCUUUGAAAACAAGGUGACAUUUUACAUUUAUGUUUGGUUGAUGUGUUCUAAAUCAAUCCGACUCACAAGAAAGGGGCACUGAGGUCCCUCCAAGAUGCCUGAUGACACAAAUGUACACAAAAGUAGGUAGUACAGUAGGUUUUUAAAUCAAAAUCUCGAGAUCGGGUUAUAGGUUUUGGAGGAGGAAUAAAGCUUAAAUAUGUAAAGGGACCACAACCCAGUAGAGUAGAACUUCAAAAUAAAUUGAAUGCUGCCCAUUAACUAACAGAAUGUAAUUCUUGCAAAUCGCAUGGAGGAAGUACAAGCUGAAAACAAUGAAAUGAAGGAACGUGUUAUCCUGGUUGGCUCUAAAAUGAAAAUGUUUUAAGAUGCAUUAGUUCAACUUAAUGUUACACUUCCAACUUCACAUGCUGGAUAAGAAAUGCAAAAAUAGGUCGAAGCUGCUACACAUCAGUUUUAGAUAUUCGGUGCAAAUUUUCUUACUUUUUGUUUGAGAGCAUGGAAUUAUUGAGAUUUAACUCUUAGUA